rnacentral:lncRNA from 1 species
UCUUACAUGCUGAUUCUGUUCGAGGAGGAGGUGAAGCUAAGCGAGUGUUGUCCCAUUACAAACUGAGGCAACCAAUUUCCUUGCAGCAUCAUGCAGGGCAGAGUGAACACCCAGCUGGGUCCCUCCAUCUCCUGGAACCCUCCUUUCUCUUGCAGGUUUCCAACAUGUUGCCAGUUAUGGUGGGUCCUCUAGCAAUGGGCUCUCACUUGUCUUCUAUUACCGUGUGGUUAUCCCUGGUUCUCAUCGUCAGCUCGAUCACCCACUGUGGCUACCACUUACCCUUCCUGCCUUCACCUGAGUUCCAUGACUACCACCAUCUCAAGUUCAACCAGUGCUAUGGGGUGCUGGGUGUGAUGGACCACCUGCAUGGGAC